rnacentral:rRNA from 1 species
GACGAACGCUGGCGGCGUGCUUAACACAUGCAAGUCGAACGGAAAGGCCCUGCUUUUGUGGGGUGCUCGAGUGGCGAACGGGUGAGUAACACGUGAGUAACCUGCCCUUGACUUUGGGAUAACUUCAGGAAACUGGGGCUAAUACCGGAUAGGAGCUCCUGCUGCAUGGUGGUGGUUGGAAAGAUUCGGCGGUUGGGGAUGGACUCGCGGCUUAUCAGCUUGUUGGUGGGGUAGUGGCUUACCAAGGCUUUGACGGGUAGCCGGCCUGAGAGGGUGACCGGCCACAUUGGGACUGAGAUACGGCCCAGACUCCUACGGGAGGCAGCAGUGGAGAAUAUUGCACAAUGGGCGGAAGCCUGAUGCAGCAACGCCGCGUGCGGGAUGACGGCCUUCGGGUUGUAAACCGCUUUCGCCUGUGACGAAGCGUGAGUGACGGUAAUGGGUAAAGAAGCACCGGCUAACUACGUG